UGCUGAGCUGGAGAGGAGAAGCUCCAAGGAGAGCUCAGAGCCCCCUCCAGGGCCUGCAGGGGCUCCAGGAGAGCUGGAGAGGGACUGGGGACAAGGCCUGGAGGGACAGGACCCAGGGAAUGGCUUGAGAUUGGCAAAGGGGAGAUUUGGGUGGGAUCUUGGGCAGGAAUUGUUCCCUGGGAGGGUGGGGAGGGGCUGGGCUGGAAUUGCCAGAGCAGCUGUGGCUGUCCCUGGAUCCCUGGCAGUGCCCAAGGCCAGGCUGGACAUUGGGGCUGGAGCAGCCUGGGACAAUGGGGGUGACCCUGGGGACAGUGGGGGUGACCCUGGGGACAGUGGGGGUGACCCUGGGGACAGUGGAGGUGACCCUGGGGACAUGAGGGUGUCCCUGGGACAGUGGGGGUGACCCUGGGACAGUGGGAGGUGACCCUGGGGACAGUGGGGGUGACCCUGGGGACAGUGGAGGUGUCCCUGCCAUGGCUGGGGUGG